rnacentral:rRNA from 1 species
GACGAACCGUGCGAACGUUGUUCGGAAUCACUGGGCUUAAAGGGCGCGUAGGCGGGCUGCCAAGUCCGUGGUGAAAUCCUCCCGCUCAACGGGAGAACGGCCUCGGAUACUGGCGGCCUGGAGGGGGGUAGGGGCGUGCGGAACUGUGGGUGGAGCGGUGAAAUGCGUUGAGAUCCACAGGAACUCCGGUGGCGAAGGCGGCACGCUGGACCCUUUCUGACGCUGAGGCGCGAAAGCCAGGGGAGCGAACGGG